GGUCAGGUCAGCUGAAGUGGAUAAGGCUCUGUGAUGAGCUUACACUGUGACUUAGCCGUCUUCGCCAGAACAUCAGUCAAGAUCGGGAUGAUAUGUGAAUUCCGCUAGCCACGGAUUGGACAUCUUGAUUGGGAGCUAGAGACACGAUUGGAAGACCUCCAGAAAGAAAAUCCUGAACCAUGCUAUGCAUGUUUUUUUUUUGUUUUUUUGAACCAAAGAUAUCCAUACAGUAAAUUAUAUUUCUGCCAGGCUUGGAGAGAAGAAAACAAUGAAUAUGUCAUCAUUAAUGUGAACUAUGAGUAUGAGUGGAUGUUCUCGAGUAGCUUUGCGUGAACCAUCUGUCAUGCGGCGCAGUGGAAGGUAUUGACACUAGGGCGAGGGCCGGGCGAGGGUGUGGAAGCCCCAUCCAUUGUGCGGACUGGAGAGAAGUUUCACAAGAACCAACAACAGCGUUAUUGAUGGCGUCCACAUGGGCCACGUGAGGAUCUGUGGACACGCAUGGUUUGACUUAUCAGUAGUCUGGUUAGGCCUCGCCUCACGGAAAAGAUUCAAACUCCUCCACAGUCUGUAGGGGUAAUUGGCCACAGCUUAUUCCCAACAAUGAUAAUUGGGAAACAUGGAAGGGUUUAAGACAAACCCCAAAGAUCUCGUCUGAGCAGACGGACUCGCUCCUCUUCUGUGUGAUUUGUUUAUCGGUUGAAAUUGAAGAUCCAGACUGACGAUCUGCUGCGCUAACUGUACAAACUGUGGAGAGCUUGGGAUGACAGAGCGGUUGGUCGCUUCGACUGUGAUGAAUUCCCCCACUCAGUCAGUGAUAGUGUGCAAUUGAUUCACUCUGUUACUGUUUGGCAUGCUGAGGUUGCCAGACAUAUUCUGUUGGAUACAUAUUUGGCAGGGAAUAUAUAUAAAGUAGCAACUAACAUUCCUUUCUCGCUCUCUGCUUCUGAGAGAGGAUGAGCUACUCUGAUUGAGGUGACAUACAAUCAUAUUUAUUUUUUGGGCUGACAAGAUGAAUAGCCGAGCGGCGAGUGUUGAGAUGGGAGAUUAUUUUAAAAGUGUUGUUAGUGCUGUGUGUGUACGCAUGGGUGUGCAUAUACAUGCGUACCCGCACACAUCCAAACGCACACGCACAUCCUCCUCCCAGGAAACUUGGCAGGCGGCAAAUGCUAACCAUCUGUUUGUGAGGAAAGUCAAGGUGAUAGUGAUGGGUUCCACUCAGUCUCUAUCUCCGAGACAGUAGCAGGGACUCUUCUCUUCAUUCCUUGACUAGAAUUAUGCACUGGAGGCAGGCUGAUGCUGCUAUUACUAAUGAAAGCAAAGGGCCCUAAUUAUUAGGCUGCACAUGGAAACUCCACAGCUUGUUGUUGUCUAGCGUCUUAUGACUGGAAAUAAGAUUUAUUUAGUUUAAGAUGUGCUAGUUGUCACAUUGGCUCUUAACUUACGAUAUGUUGACUGAUGGUAUAUUAUUUAAGAAGUUUGUUCUUAUCAUAAACACACUCAUACUACUCUAAAACUUCAAUCAUACUAUUUUUGUCCAGCUGCCCAGAUACACGAGCCUACCAGAUGGGCUAAAUUCCUUUUAUGCUCACUUCGAGGCAAGCAACACUGAAGCAUGCAUGAGAGAAGCAGUUGUUCCGGACGACUGUGUGAUCUCGCUCACCGUAGCCAAUGUGAGCAAGACCUUUAAACAGGUCAACAUUCACAAGACCGCGGGGCCAGACGGAUUACCAGAACGUGUACUCAGAGAAUGCUCGGAUCAACUGGCAAGUGUCUUCACUGACAUUUUCAACCUUUCCCUGACCGAGUCUGUAAAACCUACAUGUUUCAAGCAGACCACCAUAGUUCCUGUGCCCAAGAAAGUGAAGGUAAUCUGCCUAAAUCAGUACCGCCCCGUAGCACUCACGUCGGUAGCCAUGAAGUGCUCUGAAAGGCUGGUCAGGGCUCACACCUUCCUCCUUAACACCUUCUACCCCUGCAUAUGGCCUCGUUAUUGUUACGUAUUUUCUUGUGUUACUUUUUGAUUAAUUUAAUUUUAAUAUUACUUUUAAUUUUACUUUAAUUUAUUUAGUAAAUAUUUUCUUAACUCUAUUUCUUGAACUGCAUUGUUGGUUAAGAGCUUGUAAGUAAUUAUUUCACGGUAGGUCCUGUUGUAUUCUAAGCAUGUGACAAAUACAAUUUUAUUUGAUAUA